AAUGACUGAACAGUGCGCGAGA
rnacentral:miRNA from 1 species